GCAAACUUGGUCAUUUAGAGGAAGUAAAAGUCGUAACAAGGUCUCCGUAGGUGAACCUGCGGAGGGAUCAUUAAUGAAUGUGGCACUGAUGUUGCCCAUCAACCCUCAAACCUCUGUGGAACAAACCGUGUUUCGGCGACCAGCUCCGGUCGCCGAUGCCAAUACCUGAAUAUGUCUUUUGACGUCUGUCUGAUCAUUAGAUUGAAUACAUAAAACUUUCAACAAAGGAUCUCUUGGCUCUCGCAUCGAUGAAGAACGCAGC
rnacentral:misc_RNA from 1 species